AUGGCUCAGGACGAACGCUGGCGGCGUGCUUAACACAUGCAAGUCGAACGGAAAGGCCCCUUCGGGGGUACUCGAGUGGCGAACGGGUGAGUAACACGUGGGCAAUCUGCCCUGCACUUCGGGAUAAGCCUGGGAAACUGGGUCUAAUACCGGAUAGGACCUUUAGACGCAUGUCUUUUGGUGGAAAGCUUUUGCGGUGUGGGAUGGGCCCGCGGCCUAUCAGCUUGUUGGUGGGGUGAUGGCCUACCAAGGCGACGACGGGUAGCCGGCCUGAGAGGGUGUCCGGCCACACUGGGACUGAGAUACGGCCCAGACUCCUACGGGAGGCAGCAGUGGGGAAUAUUGCACAAUGGGCGCAAGCCUGAUGCAGCGACGCCGCGUGGGGGAUGACGGCCUUCGGGUUGUAAACCUCUUUCACCAUCGACGAAGGUUCGGGUUUUCUCGGACUGACGGUAGGUGGAGAAGAAGCACCGGCCAACUACGUGCCAGCAGCCGCGGUAAUACGUAGGGUGCGAGCGUUGUCCGGAAUUACUGGGCGUAAAGAGCUCGUAGGUGGUUUGUCGCGUUGUUCGUGAAAUCUCACGGCUUAACUGUGAGCGUGCGGGCGAUACGGGCAGACUAGAGUACUGCAGGGGAGACUGGAAUUCCUGGUGUAGCGGUGGAAUGCGCAGAUAUCAGGAGGAACACCGGUGGCGAAGGCGGGUCUCUGGGCAGUAACUGACGCUGAGGAGCGAAAGCGUGGGGAGCGAACAGGAUUAGAUACCCUGGUAGUCCACGCCGUAAACGGUGGGUACUAGGUGUGGGUUUCCUUCCUUGGGAUCCGUGCCGUAGCUAACGCAUUAAGUACCCCGCCUGGGGAGUACGGCCGCAAGGCUAAAACUCAAAGGAAUUGACGGGGGCCCGCACAAGCGGCGGAGCAUGUGGAUUAAUUCGAUGCAACGCGAAGAACCUUACCUGGGUUUGACAUGCACAGGACGCGUCUAGAGAUAGGCGUUCCCUUGUGGCCUGUGUGCAGGUGGUGCAUGGCUGUCGUCAGCUCGUGUCGUGAGAUGUUGGGUUAAGUCCCGCAACGAGCGCAACCCUUGUCUCAUGUUGCCAGCGGGUAAUGCCGGGGACUCGUGAGAGACUGCCGGGGUCAACUCGGAGGAAGGUGGGGAUGACGUCAAGUCAUCAUGCCCCUUAUGUCCAGGGCUUCACACAUGCUACAAUGGCCGGUACAAAGGGCUGCGAUGCCGCAAGGUUAAGCGAAUCCUUUUAAAGCCGGUCUCAGUUCGGAUUGGGGUCUGCAACUCGACCCCAUGAAGUCGGAGUCGCUAGUAAUCGCAGAUCAGCAACGCUGCGGUGAAUACGUUCCCGGGCCUUGUACACACCGCCCGUCACGUCAUGAAAGUCGGUAACACCCGAAGCCAGUGGCCUAACCUUUUGGAGGGAGCUGUCGAAGGUGGGAUCGGCGAUUGGGACG
rnacentral:rRNA from 1 species